GAAGCUUCCAGGGGCAUCUGGGAUGGUUCUGGAAGGCUCCGGAAGGUUCCAGAGGAUGUUCCCAGCAGGAAUUCCCUACUUCCCGGUGAUGAGGGGGUUGCGCAGCACCACGAUGACGCCGGAACUCUGGAAGGUUCCCAGAUGAUCUGGAAGGUUCCGGAAGGUUCCAGGGGGAUCUGGGAUGGUUCCGGAAGGUUCCAGAGGGUGUUCCCAGCAGGAAUUCCCUACUUCCCGGCGAUGAGGGGGAUUCACAGGACCACGAUGACGGAGCCGCUCUGGGGAAGGUUCUGGAAGGUUCUGGAAGGUUCUGGGAGCUCUGGAAGGUUCCAGGGGGAUCCGGGAUGGUUCCGGAAGGUUCCAGAGGGUGUUCCCAGCAGGAAUUCCCUACUUCCCGGCGAUGAGGGGGUUGCGCAGCACCACGAUGACGGAGCCGCUCUGGGGAACGUUCCGGAAGGUUCCAGGGGGAUCCGGGAUGGUUCCAGAAGGUUCCAGAGGGUGUUCCCAGCAGGAAUUCCCUAC